UCUUGGUGUGCUCACAGGCUUUGAAGAACAAGCUGCCACAAAUCCUAUAGCUAUAAGGAAAUGAACUCUACUAACCUGAGUGAGCUUAAAACUAGAUCCUACCCCAGUCAAGCCUGCAGGUGAGAAUUCAAUCCUGGCUGGCACCUGGAUUGCAGCUUACAGAGGACCCAGAUAAGGCCAUGUCUGGACUUUAAAUCCACAGGAACUGUGAGGGCCUUUUUGGGAUCCUCUGGGAGCUCAGCUUCUUAGGCUGGAAGUGCCAGGGAAGUACAUCACCAAAUUCCCCCUUCUACUGGGGCUUCUGAUGGUAUCAGAAGUGGGACCAGAAGUGGGGCAUCUGGCAACCCCCAGGAGCACUGAGUGACCAGGCAUGGGACCCACCGCGGGUCCAGGGUGUCCGUUGUUCUCUGAAGCAACUAGGAAUUGUGGAUAAAUUGGUCCUGCUAAGAUUAUCUUUGAUGAAAAUGGAGAAUUGGAAAAAGAAAAAAGGUAUAAUUCAACAACUGACAGCAGCCAUAGAUCAAUGACUUUGACAGCACUACUCAGCAAUGAAUCUUCCCAGCGAUGACAGACAUUUUGACACUCAACUUUUCAUCAUCAGUUCUUUCAAGAAUAAAGAUUUUAGAUCAAAAAAGGGAAAUGAGAAAAGAAAAGAGCUUUUAUCUGAGGAAGGCAAGUUCUAUUAGUUAUCAGGACCAGACAAUAAGAUGAGACAGAAAUCUCAUCCUACUCUCCACUUUGAGUUACCUAUUCCUCUCUUCAAACUGCUUGCUAUUGUUACAAGUAGCUAUAGAUUAACCUAAUAAUGCCACACAGGACACUAUAACCUAUACCCUGUAGCUUAAGACUGUAUAGCCAAUCACUAAUAAGUGUUAUUUCUAUAAACCAAUGAGAUUUCCUGACAAACAACUUUCUAUCAGCCCACUCACUGUCCCCCAUUUUUUUGCCUUUAAAAAUCUGCUUGUAACUGCUGCUAAUAGCAGUGUGUAUUCAGGGCAACUUGAAUCUAUUCUCCCUGGUUGCAUUUCUCAAGUUUGGCCCAAAUAAACUCUCUACUUAUAUUAAUUUUGCCUCAGCUUCUCUGUUUUAGGUCAACAGGCCAAUUUUCUGAAGGGCCUUGGGAAAUUAAUUGAUUUUUCAGUGUCUUUAGCUUUUUUUUCCUUGUUGCAAGAUGGGAUUAAUGACUUCCAAGCUUUUUAUGUGUUACAACUGAAACCAGAAGCCUAACCUUUUAAAUAUAUGCAGUAUUAUGCAGAAUAUUUAUUCACCUGGAUUCUACAUCAAACCAAAAUUG